rnacentral:rRNA from 1 species
GACGAACGCUGGCGGCGUGCUUAACACAUGCAAGUCGAACGGAAAGGCCCUGCUUUUGUGGGGUGCUCGAGUGGCGAACGGGUGAGUAACACGUGAGUAACCUGCCCUUGACUUUGGGAUAACUUCAGGAAACUGUGGCUAAUACCGGAUAGUAGCUCCUGCUGCAUGGUGGGGGUUGGAAAGUUUCGGCGGUUGGGGAUGGACUCGCGGCUUAUCAGCUUGUUGGUGGGGUAGUGGCUUACCAAGGCUUUGACGGGUAGCCGGCAUGGGAGGGUGACCGGCCACAUUGGGACUGAGAUACGGCCAAGACUCCUAGGGGAGGCAGCAGUGGGGAAUAUUGAACAAUGGGCGGAAGCCUGAUGCAGCAACGCGGCGUGCGGGAUGACGGCCUUCGGGUUGUAAACCGCUUUCGCAUGUGACGAAGCGUGUGUGACGGUAAUGGGUAAAGAAGCACCGGCUAACUACGUG